rnacentral:tRNA from 1 species
GCUGGUAUUGCACAGUCGGUAGUGCGCAUCACUCGUAAUGAUGAGGUCGUCAGUUCGAUUCUGACUACCAGCUCCA